GACGAACGCUGGCGGCGUGCUUAACACAUGCAAGUCGAACGGAAAGGCCCUGCUUUUGUGGGGUGCUCGAGUGGCGAACGGGUGAGUAACACGUGAGUAACCUGCCCUUGACUUUGGGAUAACUUCAGGAAACUGGGGCUAAUACCGGAUAGGAGCUCCUGCUGCAUGGUGGGGGUUGGAAAGUUUCGGCGGUUGGGGAUGGACUCGCGGCUUAUCAGCUUGUUGGUGGGGUAGUGGCUUACCAAGGCUUUGACGGGUAGCCGGCCUGAGAGGGUGACCGGCCACAUUGGGACUGGGAUACGGCCCAGACUCCUACGGGAGGCAGCAGUGGGGAAUAUUGCACAAUGGGCGGAAGCCUGAUGCAGCAACGCCGCGUGCGGGAUGACGGCCUUCGGUUUGUAAACCGCUUUCGCCUGUGACGAAGCGUGAGUGACGGUAAUGGGUAAAGAAGCACCGGCUAACUACGUG
rnacentral:rRNA from 1 species